rnacentral:rRNA from 1 species
UCGCGUGAGGGAUGAAGGCCUUCGGGUUGUAAACCUCGGAAAUUAUCGAAGAAUGAGUGACAGUAGAUAAUGUAAGCCUCGGCUAACUACGUGCCAGCAGCCGCGGUAAUACGUAGGAGGCAAACGUUGCUCGGAUUUACUGGGCGUAAAGGGUGAGUAGGCGGACUUAUAAGUCUAAGGUGAAAGACCGAAGCUCAACUUCGGAAACGCCUCGGAUACUGUAAGUCUUGGAUAUUGUAGGGGAUGAUGGAAUUCUCGGUGUAGCGGUGGAAUGCGCAGAUAUCGAGAGGAACACCUAUAGCGAAGGCAGUCAUCUGGGCAUUUAUCGACGCUGAAUCACGAAAGCUAGGGGAGCAAACAGGCUUAGAUACCCUGGUAGUCCUAGCCGUAAACGUUGUACACUAGGUGCUUCUAUUUAAAUAGGAGUGCCGUAGCUAACGUCUUAAGUGUACCGCCUGAGGAGUAUGCCCGCAAGGGUGAAACUCAAAGAAAUUGACGGGUCCCCGCACAAGUGGUGGAGCAUGUGGUUUAAUUCGAUGAUACGCGAAAAACCUUACCUGGGUUUGAAUUGUAAGAUGAAUGAUUUAGAGAUAAGUCAGACCGCAAGGACGUUUUACAUAGGUGCUGCAUGGCUGUCGUCAGCUCGUGUCGUGAGAUGUUGGGUUAAGUCCCGCAACGAGCGCAACCCUCACCCUUUGUUGCUACCGAGUAAUGUCGGGCACUCUUAGGGGACUGCCUACGUUCAAGUAGGAGGAAGGUGGGGAUGAUGUCAAGUCCUCAUGGCCCUUAUGUCCAGGGCUACACACGUGCUACAAUGGCAAGUACAAAGAGAAGCAAGACCGCGAGGUGGAGCAAAACUCAAAAAAGUUGCCUCAGUUCGGAUUGGAGUCUGAAACUCGACUCCAUGAAGUUGGAAUCACUAGUAAUCGUAGAUCAGAACGCUACGGUGAAUACGUUCCCGGGGGAUUGUACACACCGCCCGUC